rnacentral:rRNA from 1 species
AGCUGACGAGCGGCGGACGGGUGAGUAACACGUAGGAACCUGACCUUUAGAGGGGGACAACCAAGGGAAACUUUGGCUAAUACCGCGUAACCUCGAGAGAGUAAAGUUGCCGCAAGGUGACGCUAAAGGAGGGGCCUGCGUCCGAUUAGCUAGUUGGUGAGGUAAUAGCUCACCAAGGCGAUGAUCGGUAACUGGUCUGAGAGGACGACCAGUCACACUGGGACUGAGACACGGCCCAGACUCCUACGGGAGGCAGCAGUGGGGAAUAUUGGACAAUGGGGGCAACCCUGAUCCAGCGAUGCCGCGUGGGUGAAGAAGGCCUUCGGGUUGUAAAGCCCUUUAGGUUAGGAAGAAGUAUACGGGAAGAUAAUGCCCGUAUAUUGACGGUACUAACAGAAUAAGCACCGGCAAACUCUGUGCCAGCAGCCGCGGUAAUACAGAGGGUGCAAGCGUUAAUCGGAGUUACUGGGCGUAAAGGGCGCGUAGGCGGUUUAAUGAGUGUGAUGUGAAAGCCCUGGGCUUAACCUGGGAAGUGCAUCGCAAACGAUUGAACUGGAGUCUGGGAGAGGGUGGCGGAAUUUCCC